GGAACAGUCUGAGUGGUUACACUGCAGCCAGGCACCCCAAGCUCUCCUGCAUGCUCCCCUUCCCACGGUCAGCUCUGCCUCUGGUGAGAGCAGCCACUGAUUAGUCCUGCCAGAAACCACACUGCCCUGGUUCAGGCACAGAAAAAAAGAACAGAUAACACGAGAGAGAAAGCCAGAGAGAGGGAAGGAGGCAGGAGCAAGUGGGACUGCUGUUGCUGAUGUAUUAUUUAUAUAGCAGGAAAUUAGGCUCUGAGGACUCAAGUAUUCUUCAAAUAAGCUUCCUAAUUCUGUCAAUUAAGAAUGCACAGGCUGCUGGGGCUCUAGCUUGGGAUGAGCCGCAGAGGAGUGAAAGCUGCCCCUGGUCAUUGCUCUGAUGUGCUGCUACAGAUAUUUCAGCUGGAGGAAAAAUAUCUUAGUCCCAAAAUCAAACGUGUGAGAUGCUGGGAGGGUUAUAUAGAGCAGCUCUGGCUGAUUCCAGUGGGACAAAUAACUUCCCUGUGCUCUGACAGGGGAAUACUGAAAUGCUGAA